GGAAAAGUCCCUUUUUCCUAAAAUUAUACAAACAAUCCAGCGAAGAUUAACAAAUAGAUAAACGGAAAGUAAGUUUUAGGCUUUAUCCUUUGUUCUUGUUUAACAAAAUCGAUUUAAAUUGUUACUUUUUUUACCACUAAGCCAUGAUAAAUUAUUGUUAAUAUUUUUUUUUAUUUAUUGGAUGCUCAGAAUGCAGAAAAUAGCAUUUCACGGUUUCAAAUUUCAAAAAUUUUCUUGGGAUUAUCCCUCUAAUAAGUAAUAAUAAAUUACAGUUAAUAUUCUCUUUUACUUUUUGUGCAUUUUUCCAUCUUUUAUUUCAAAUACAACUAUAGUUAGCAUAAAUUUUAGAGCAAAUUUGGAUGCUCAGAAUGCAGGAAAUGGCAUUUCUGUAGUUCAUAUUUCAAAAAUUUUCUGGGGGAGUACACCCCCACACACCUGACCAUUGCUAUCCUCCUCUAAUAAGUAAUGAUAAAUGAUGGUUAAUUUUUUUUUUACUUUUUGUGUGUUUCUUCCUUUAUUUAUUUCAAAUACAAGUAUAGUUAGGAUAAAUUUUGGAGCAAAUUUGGAUGCUCAGAAUGCAGGAAAUGACAUUUCCGGGAGUCAAAUUUCAAAAAUUUUCUGGGGGAGUACACCCCCAG